UAGGGAAUCUUCCACAAUGGACGCAAGUCUGAUGGAGCAACGCCGCGUGAGUGAAGAAGGUUUUCGGAUCGUAAAGCUCUGUUGUUGGUGAAGAAGGAUAGAGGCAGUAACUGGUCUUUAUUUGACGGUAAUCAACCAGAAAGUCACGGCUAACUACGUGCCAGCAGCCGCGGUAAUACGUAGGUGGUAAGCGUUGUCCGGAUUUAUUGGGCGUAAAGCGAGCGCAGGCGGAAUGAUAAGUCUGAUGUGAAAGCCCACGGCUCAACCGUGGAACUGCAUCGGAAACUGUCAUUCUUGAGUGCAGAAGAGGAGAGUGGAAUUCCAUGUGUAGCGGUGGAAUGCGUAGAUAUAUGGAAGAACACCAGUGGCGAAGGCGGCUCUCUGGUCUGCAACUGACGCUGAGGCUCGAAAGCAUGGGUAGCGAACAGG
rnacentral:rRNA from 1 species